CACAGGGAUCAUCAUAGAAGGGUACUGGCCACCCAUGUAGGAGUUCAAGCCCCCUGCCCCACAAGCUCAUUGCUACCCAUCCAGGGCCAUUCUGGAUGGAUCCUAAACUCCACAGAAAUUUAAAGAGGCCAUCCAGAGUUGGAGACCCCAUUUCUCAACAUCUUCUUCUCCUCUUUCCUUCUAGGCUGCGAAGGCUGCUGUGUAUCUCCCACAGGAAGAGCAGAAAUGUUACGCCAGUUUCAGUGGGCAUCCCUAUCAGUCCUGUAAAGCCUCCUGGGGCUGAAAGUAACAGGAUCCCAGCCCAACAUUGCUGGUGGUUCUGCAGGGUAUACCAGCGGUAACAUCUGCUGGGCAGGCAACCAGUCAGCCAUCACUAUGUGAACCCCAGUUACCUGUUUGACAAGAUGAAGGGGAUCCUUGAGGAGAGAGCCAGUGCUUUCGCAGAGGCUGAGGGAUCUUCCUGGCCACUUCCAACUCUCCGGUCAGAAAGGAAUCUGCCCUGAACUUAAGAACAAUUGCAGGGAUGAUAAUCAAAAUCAACAAGAGAGACCAGCACAUCCUGGUGUGUCUUGACUAGGAGACACUGGGCAUGUUACAGGCUUUCUCUGGCAACUGCACAACUGCUUUGGAGAAGAGGUGCAAAGACUUGGGUCUUCUACUCAAAAAAGUGCAGAAGGAGGAAAUGAAAACAAAUGCCUGGUAGCCAACAAUAACAUCUGGCUAAAUACCACUGUGCCAAUAUUUAGCUCCCUCUGGCGAUGCUGCCAAGGCACUGUAAGCUCCCUGGAGCGUCAUGGUGACAUCACGUGCAUGCCACGCUGUUUAGAUGCGGCAUGUGCAUGAUGUCAUCAACACGUGUGUCAUGUGGACAGCACUGCGAAACAAUGGCGCCGCUGUGAUAUGCUAGGGUUCCGGAGCGUGCGGAUGCUGUGCACUCUGGAUCCCUAGACUUGGCCCCAGGCUGCCACAAACCGGCAGUCUGUACUGGGCCUUAGUUAGCAUUUAGGAUAUUAUUUAAUUUGUGUUUACUGGUCUUGUUUACACUUUUGGUAUACUGUUUAAUAUGAUGUUUAAUCUAGUCUAGUUUUAAUUUUAGAUGUGUGUGUGUGUAUUUGCAUAUGGGUAUAUUUAUAUUUUUCUUUCUUUCUAUUUUCUUCUUUUUCCCCCUGUUUUGUAUGUUGUAAGUGAAGUUGAUGGUUUGUUAAUAUAUAUAUAAAACAAGAAGCCAAAGAAGGAGGAGGAGGACAGGAGGAGGAUAUUAGUAAAAUUGCUUUACUUUACUGGCCAUAUAUAAUUUAACUCUUCUCCAUUACAUUCCUUCAGACUAUUUCAUGUUGAAUUCUGUGGCUGUCAUGGUUUUCUUCUUCCUCCUCUUCUUUUUCAUAUUUUAUUGAUUCUAUAUAGCAUAAGCCACCCUAUGGGAUUUGUUAAAAAGCUGUGUGGCAGGAUAUAAGUAUGAAUAAUAAAUACAAAAUGUUAA